rnacentral:rRNA from 1 species
AUUGAACGCUGGCGGCAGGCCUAACACAUGCAAGUCGAACGAGUGGCGGACGGGUGAGUCAUGUCUUGGAAACUGCCUGAUGGAGGUGGAUAACUACUGGAAACGGUAGCUAAUACCGCAUAACAUCCGCUGCGCCCAGAUGGGAGUAGCGAGUUGGUGGGGUAACGGCUCACCAAGGCGACGAUCGCUAGCUGGUCUGAGAGGAUGACCAGCCACACUGGAACUGAGAAACGGUCCAGAAUCCUACGGGAGGCAGCAGUGGGGAAUAUUGCACAAUGGGCGCAAGCCUGAUGCAGCCAUGCCGCGUGUAUGAAGAAGGCCUUCGGGUUGUAAAGUACUUUCAGCGGGGAGGCGUUACCCGCAGAAGAAGCACCGGCUAACUCCGUGCCAGCAGCCGCGGUAAUUC